CCUACGGGUGGCAGCAGUGAGGAAUAUUGGUCAAUGGACGAGAGUCUGAACCAGCCAAGUAGCGUGAAGGAUGACUGUCCUAUGGGUUGUAAACUUCUUUUAUAUGGGAAUAAAACGUUCCACGUGUGGGAUUUUGUAUGUACCAUAUGAAUAAGGAUCGGCUAACUACGUUCCAGCAGCCGCGGUAAUACGGAGGAUCCGAGCGUUAUCCGGAUUUAUUUGGUUUAAAGGGAGCGUAGGUGGAUUGUUAAGUCAGUUGUGAAAGUUUGCGGCUCAACCGUAAAAUUGCAGUUGAAACUGGGAGACUUGAGUGCAGUAGAGGUGAGCGGAAUUCGUGGUGUAGCGGUGAAAUGCUUAGAUAUCACGAAGAACUCCGAUUGCGAAAGCAGUUCACUGGACUGCAACUGACACUGAGGCUCGAAAGUGUGGGUAUCAAACAGGAUUAGAUACCCCAGUAGUC
rnacentral:rRNA from 1 species